UACUUGGUUCACGGAAACAGAGGUUUACACUCUCAGACGCAGACGCUGAAGAAGAAGAACGACGAAGCAGCACACACACCCACACUACAGAGAGAGGCGGGGUCAUUUCUUUAUCAACCAAAACCAAACGCCGUCGUCGUCAGCCAUUAGGUACUUGUUGUACUCCAUCGAUGUACGAAAAUAUGUAUAGAAUUGUCCUCUGCUGAACAUUUGAUAUUGCGUGCUAGUAAUUUCUACAGGCUUCUAGGGUUUCUGUAAUUGGUUUUACUUAUGCAUGUUUUACCUCUUUUUUUAGAUGAAUAAAAGGCGGAUUUUGAUCCAACAGUCGGCAUUUGUUUUUGGUUUAAUAUGAAUUUUAUGAAUAUACUGUGGAUUGUGAAUCUAUCAUGGAUUUGAUAAGCUGAACCUACCGAUGGUGAUGCCAUAUUAUAAUUAGGUCCCUUCAUUCACAAAAAUUGAAAAUUUAACUGAUUACUUUGCCAGCUUCUUGUUCAAUUUGCAACUGUUUUUUGUUUCUCAUUAGUCAUCUCAAGCAUGACUUGGGUUGGUGCUGAAUUUGAUGGUUUCUUAAAUUUUUGUUUUUGUUUUAUAAAAUAUAUGAAUUCAGUAGCCAUGAAGGUGCGUUCCUCUGUGAAGAAAAUGUGUGAGUUUUGUAAGACAGUUAAACGUCGCGGGCGUGUUUAUGUGCUUUGCACAGCCAAUCCCAAGCAUAAGCAAAGACAGGGCAUGUCAACAUUUGCAUACGAAGGCACGGUGUCUUCCAUGUACGUUUCCUUUCAUGCUUUCAUUUUGCUUUUUUUAUGCUUUUAUAUGUUUACUUUGGCAAAUUCUUCUGAUUGCGUUAAUCUUAAAAGGAAACAUCCCAUUCAGAAUCUCCCAUGUUAAGCACCCCGUAAUCUAAGAACAAAACAUGUUAGACGAAUUCACUCCAAAUCUUCCCUAACACCUGGAGAUCCCUUGCCUCUUGUAAAUUUGUUGUACAUAGUUCGUUGGGUGGUUUUACUAAGUGAUUCUUGGAUACUUCUUAUCAUAGGCACGUAGGUUAAGCACACAAAAGGCACUUUUCCUACUAUAUGUGGACCUUCAUUUGGCAGGCCUGCAUAAGGUGGCCUGGAGCCUCCUUUUGUAUAAUAAAUGUUAUCUAGGAGAUUAGGACUUGGCAAUAUCUCCAUAGAACAAAACUCAUAGCGGCUACAAUGCUUUUAGUCAUCAAUUUGGCAGAAGAGAAACAACAAUUUAUGGAGUCAAGGAUUUAGGUUACUGCGUCUUCUAAUUCUAACUUCUGAGAUGGUGGUUGCCAUUUUUUUACACAAUUGUAUCUAGCUUACCUGCUCCAUGUGGUGUUUUUCAUGCAUGUGUGUCUAUAAUCAUACUUUUUGCUGAUAUGAAAGUAGCUUUUCAGUUUUUCAUUAGUUCUGUCUGGCAUGUAGCAUGAAUUUAGUCGUGUGUAAAGAUUUUAAAAACUUCAGAACAUGUUAGUAGUAACCUAACAUGUGAAUCUGUAUGUUCACAAACUGCUGCAUAUCUAUAUGUAGAUAUCUCACAUGCGAAUCUCUCUCUUACACAUGAACUUCCUAUAGAAAUGUGAUGUGCCAAUGGAGUGAAAUUGGCAAUUUUCUAGUUGAAUGUUUGAAUCCUUUUCAGGUACGCAGAGACUAGUGCCAAGCUGGAGAACAGCUCUGGUCACAGUGUGCAAGCAGGUCUGGCCUCUCUGAUACCCAAAAAGCACGAACCCUCGAUGCCUUCUAUACCCUCUACGAUACUUGGAUGGAGGGUGGGCCUGGCCUCCCUGCUGUUCAACGAGGCCAAGUAGCUUUGAAAUUUGAAAUGGGAAGAAUGCAAACCUUAUCUCAGUUUUUAGGUUCCUUUCUUUGGUUGUGCUGCCAGAUAUGUUCAAAAUGUUAUAAGCUCCUCUCUUUUUCUCUUGGAUUUUAGCUUUUAAUCUGCUACUAUAUAUAAUACUUCCAUCUCUCCCUCGCUUUCUGGUGUGUGUGUGUUUAGACUUAGCUGUGCUAGAGAUUCUGAUCGUAGCGACCUUACCUGCUCCACAUAUAUAACUCAGGAAAUAAGAUGGCUCGAAUUGUAAAGGACACUUUAUCUGAUUUCCUGGAAAAGAAUUAGAUGGUAUGAAAGUGAAACGUAAUUUGGAAUGGAUGUUGCAAGAGUUUUCUUUUCAUAUUCAUUUUACAGAUCAUAUGGAACCAAAUUAGUGAAUCCAUAUAAAAUUAUGAAUUAUGCGGGAAGGUCUACCCAUCUCUCGUAAGUCAUACCCGAAAGGCGAACCUUUAUAUAUCUUAAUUGACC
rnacentral:lncRNA from 1 species